rnacentral:rRNA from 1 species
AUGUGAUCGUCUCUCGCAUAUCAAUAAGCGGAGGAAAAGAAACUAACAAGGAUUCCCCUAGUAACGGCGAGUGAAGCGGGAAGAGCUCAAAUUUGAAAUCUUAAAGGGUUUCCCUUUACGAAUUGUAGUUUAAAGAAGUGUUUUCUGUUGAGGUUUUGGUAAAAGUUCUUUGGAAUAGGACAUCAUAGAGGGUGAGAAUCCCGUAUUUGACCUUUACUUUCAACUUUGUGAUACACUUUCAAAGAGUCGGAUUGUUUGGGAAUGCAGUCCAAAAUGGGUGGUAAAUUUCAUCUAAAGCUAAAUAUUGGCGAGAGACCGAUAGCGAGCAAGUACCGUGAGGGAAAGAUGAAGAGAACUUUGAAAAGAGAGUUAAACAGUACGUGAAAUUGUCAAAAGGGAAGCGUUUGACACCAGUGUUGUUUUUCUGAAAAUCGAUUAAAGAACUGUUUAUGCUAAGCUGUUUAGACUUUAUCAGCUAUCUGUUUAGUUUUAGGCUUUUCUUUAAUGCACUUUUCAGUUAACAAGUCAACAUCAAUUUCUUUUGCUGUAAAAAAGCUUGAGGAAGGUGGCUUGAGAUUCGUCUUAAGUGUUUAUAGCCUCUUGCCUAUGCAGUCGGAGAGAUUGAGGUCUGCAGCGUAGAUCCUUCGGGGCUAAAUGCAUUUGUGCUAAGUUAUAGCAUUUUAUAGACAACUUGUUGACUAUGAUUUGUCUUGUAGCUUACUCGCUUAUGUUAUUUUACCUACGCUUAGGAUGUUGAUCUACAGAGCGAGAGU